AUUCAUGAUUUUGUGUUGUCAUAUUCCUUCUCCCUUUUUAUGGCUUUUAAAUAUUUAUUUGUUUAAUACAUAUUUGAGGGUAGGUUUUGUGCUAGUUAGUAAUAACAUGACUUACCAGAUUCUUGCCGGUUAAUUACUCUUUGGCACUAUUUCCUAUACUUUGAAUGCAUGUUUUCAUUUUGUUAUAUUAAACACAUCUUUGUAGGUGUAGGAGCCAAGGGCAGUCCACCCCAAAAUGUGCCAUUUUGGAAUAUUGAUUAUUUUACAUAAAAGUUACUUAAGAGACAGCCGGUGCAGGAAGGAUACUCUGCCCCCCACGCUGUUCCCCCCAAAAGCAGGAGAUAUAUCUCCCUUGUGAAAGCUGUCCUCCUGUACCAGGAGGUAAAGAGGCAUCCUUGUCACCAGAGAUGGGGCAUUUAGAGCAGAGAAGGCUGUAUAAACAACUUUUGUUACUUUUUAUUAAGUUACUACCCCAGCCCACCUGCUGUUUACAAUUCCUCACUAACUGAAGCUCACAAAGUUGUUUUCUUUGUCCCAUCAAUUCCUUACAGAUUUCUUGUCUGUUUUCCUAAAAAGUAUGAAAACUGCCCUCUCUGGUUAUUUCUUUAGGUCUCAGUUUCAGUAAUGGGUCUCCAUGGGCACAUAAUAAAAUGUUGGGGUUUUUUUCUCCCGUUAAUCUGUCUCAUGUCAAUUUAAUUUUUAGUCCGGCUGGAAGACCUUGAAGGACAGAGGAAGGAAUUUUUCUUCUCUACAAAGGCUAUAAUUAAGUGUAUUUUAUUUUGAAAUUUAGAAGAGGCUCUUUUUAAUAGAAACCGCCAGGUUGUUCACAAUAAAAGGUUUUCAGCGAGGGCUUGAUGGGAGAAAAAGGGAAAAAAGGCUGGACUUCGCUGCGGCUCAUAGUCUCCAGGCAGGAUUCUUGAAGCACACAGGUUGUAACACCCCUACAGCUACCUCGAGGACUUCCUUUAAUGUUUCACCACCAGAGCUUCGUUCUGCUUCCACAAGAGGCUAUGCCAUGCUUCAAAACACUGCAACAGAAAGAAGAGGGGAAAAAAAAAAGAUUUCUAGACAAUCCAGUCUGCAUGAAAUACCUAGGGCAAUUCCUGGCACCAAAGAGGUGUUGAGUGUAAGUUAAAUGGAUU
rnacentral:lncRNA from 1 species